AUGUAUCAACAAGGGAUUACAAUACUCAUAGGGUCAAGCACAUCUAUAACCUCAAUAUACCUCAUUACAUAACAUACUGUAAUCUCUUACAUUAUAUCAUAAUACAAUUGUCAUGUCCACAAUCUAACUAUUACAUCAACAUACUUCAAUAAACUCUGGCUAACCUUCUGGUCUACCCUGUACCUGCACAUCUGGGGUUAGGGGAGAGGGGUGAGCUACAAAGCCCAGUGAGCAGAAUAGUGAAAACAAUAUAUUAAAAUUUCAUGCUUUUAUGGAAUGCAACACAUCACAACAAAUC
rnacentral:lncRNA from 1 species